AGAUAAAACGGUGAAGACGACAGUUACCCCAGAAAACCUGGAGAAGCAGUAUAAGAUAACUUUAUACAUGGCAGAGAAGAAGUCCACUUGGAUAGACGCGUACUAUGACUGCCAAGGAAUGAGCAUGACACUUCCAACUGAUCUGAACGAGGUGCUGAACACUUACCUGCAAAAUUAUCUGAGACAGCACCAGAUAGAGACCUGG